UGGGGGAUCUUCGGCAAUGGGCGAAAGCCUGACCGAGCCAUGCCGCGUGAGUGACGAAGGCCUUAGGGUCGUAAAGCUCUUUCGCCAGGGAUGAUAAUGACAGUACCUGGUAAAGAAACCCCGGCUAACUCCGUGCCAGCAGCCGCGGUAAUACGGAGGGGGUUAGCGUUGUUCGGAAUUACUGGGCGUAAAGGGCGCGUAGGCGGCUGUCUAAGUCGGGGGUGAAAGCCCGGGGCUCAACCUCGGAACGGCCUUCGAGACUGGGCGGCUAGAGACCGGAAGAGGAGGGUGGAAUACCCAGUGUAGAGGUGAAAUUCGUAGAUAUUGGGUGGAACACCAGUGGCGAAAGCGGCUCUCUGGUCCGGUUCUGACGCUGAGGCGCGAAAGCGUGGGGAGCAAACAGGAUUAGAUACCCCCGUAGUCC
rnacentral:rRNA from 1 species